UACGAAGGGGGCUAGCGUUGCUCGGAAUCACUGGGCGUAAAGCGCACGUAGGCGGAUCUUUAAGUCAGGGGUGAAAUCCUGGAGCUCAACUCCAGAACUGCCUUUGAUACUGGGGAUCUCGAGUCCGGAAGAGGUGAGUGGAACUCCGAGUGUAGAGGUGAAAUUCGUAGAAAUUCGGAAGAACACCAGUUGCGAAGGCGGCUCUCUGGACCAGCACUGACACUGAGGCACGAAAGCGUGGGGAGCAAACAGG
rnacentral:rRNA from 1 species